rnacentral:rRNA from 1 species
UACGUAGGGGGCGAGCGUUGUCCGGAAUUAUUGGGCGUAAAGGGUACGCAGGCGGCCAUGUAAGUCAGAUGUGAAAGACAUAGGCUUAACUUAUGUAAGCAUUUGAAACUGCGUGGCUUGAGUUAAGGAGAGGAAAGUGGAAUUCCUAGUGUAGCGGUGAAAUGCGUAGAUAUUAGGAAGAAUAUCAGUGGCGAAGGCGACUUUCUGGACUUAUACUGACGCUGAGGUACGAAAGCGUGGGGAGCAAACAGGAUUAGAUACCCUGGUAGUCCACGCCGUAAACGAUGAGUGCUAGGUGUCGGGGGUCAAACCUCGGUGCCGCCGUUAACACAUUAAGCACUCCGCCUGGGGAGUACGUACGCAAGUAUGAA